GCCCUAGUAGCUUAACAUAAUAGCGCUGGUCUUGUAAACCAGAGAUGAGAGACACCCUCCAAGGACA
rnacentral:tRNA from 1 species